UACAGAGGUCUCAAGCGUUGUUCGGAUUCAUUGGGCGUAAAGGGCGCGUAGGCGGCGCGGUAAGUCGGGUGUGAAAUCUCGGAGCUUAACUCCGAAAUUGCAUUCGAUACUGCCGUGCUCGAGGACUGGAGAGGAGACUGGAAUUCAUGGUGUAGCAGUGAAAUGCGUAGAGAUCAUGAGGAAGACCAGUGGCGAAGGCGGGUCUCUGGACAGUUCCUGACACUGAGGCACGAAGGCCAGGGGAGCAAACGGG
rnacentral:rRNA from 1 species